GUGGGGAAUUUUGGACAAUGGGCGCAAGCCUGAUCCAGCAAUGCCGCGUGCAGGAAGAAGGCCUUCGGGUUGUAAACUGCUUUUGUACGGAACGAAACGGUCCGGGUUAAUACCCUGGGCUAAUGACGGUACCGUAAGAAUAAGCACCGGCUAACUACGUGCCAGCAGCCGCGGUAAUACGUAGGGUGCAAGCGUUAAUCGGAAUUACUGGGCGUAAAGCGUGCGCAGGCGGUUGUGUAAGACAGGCGUGAAAUCCCCGGGCUCAACCUGGGAAUUGCGCUUGUGACUGCACAGCUGGAGUGCGGGAGAGGGGGAUGGAAUUCCGCGUGUAGCAGUGAAAUGCGUAGAUAUGCGGAGGAACACCGAUGGCGAAGGCAAUCCCCUGGGCCUGCACUGACGCUCAUGCACGAAAGCGUGGGGAGCAAACAGGAUUAGAUACCUCGGUAGUCC
rnacentral:rRNA from 1 species